rnacentral:rRNA from 1 species
GAUGAACGCUGGCGGCGUGCCUAAUACAUGCAAGUCGAGCGAAUGGAUUAAGAGCUUGCUCUUAUGAAGUUAGCGGCGGACGGGUGAGUAACACGUGGGUAACCUGCCCAUAAGACUGGGAUAACUCCGGGAAACCGGGGCUAAUACCGGAUAAUAUUUUGAACUGCAUGGUUCAAAAUUGAAAGGCGGCUUCGGCUGUCACUUAUGGAUGGACCCGGGUCGCAUUAGCUAGUUGGUGAGGUAACGGCUCACCAAGGCAACGAUGCGUAGCCGACCUGAGAGGGGGAUCGGCCACACUGGGACUGAGACACGGCCCAGACUCCUACGGUAGGCAGCAGUAGGGAAGCUUCCGCAAUGGACAAAAGUCUGACGGAGCAACGCCGCGUGAGUGAUGAAGGCUUUCGGGUCGUAAAACUCUGUUGUUAGGGAAGAACAAGUGCUAGUUGAAUAAGCUGACACCUUGACGGUACCUAACCAGAAAGCCACGGCUAACUACGUGCCAGCAGCCGCAGUAA